AUAGUGAUAAUAGUCAUGUGUAUUGUGCAACUGUAAUGUCAAUUAAUAAGACAUAUUAUUUUCAAAUGAAAUUUUUACAUAAAAUAAAAUUAGGAAAUAACAUAUUUCUUACUUAAUAUGAUACAUCAUUGUCGACCACCAGCUUGCUGAAAGCUUGUAUGAAUAUAAAAAAAUAUUACUCAAAUUAUUUUACCAGCAAUAGCAGCUUUGGUGCCCAUGUAUGCAUCAUCUGUAGAUGUAGUUGGAGUAAUCCCAACUAUGUGAGCUCUUUCCUGUUGAAUCAUCGAAGGAAGAAAGCAACUUCUCGAAUUGCAUUACGAUCCCAGAGAUCACAUUGGUAUGCAAAGACCUUGACUUUGAACUCAGACAUAUCCUGUUUCCUGUGAUUCGGUCCGACAUUCUGGAUUGCAGAAUAAUUCUCCAUCAGCUCACAG